UCGACCUGAGCUCAGGCAAGAGCACCCGCUGAACUUAAGCAUAU
rnacentral:rRNA from 1 species